rnacentral:rRNA from 1 species
GAGACAGCAGCAGCCGCGGUAAUACAGAGGGUGCGAGCGUUAAUCGGAUUUACUGGGCGUAAAGCGUGCGUAGGCGGCUUUUUAAGUCGGAUGUGAAAUCCCUGAGCUUAACUUAGGAAUUGCAUUCGAUACUGGGAAGCUAGAGUAUGGGAGAGGAUGGUAGAAUUCCAGGUGUAGCGGUGAAAUGCGUAGAGAUCUGGAGGAAUACCGAUGGCGAAGGCAGCCAUCUGGCCUAAUACUGACGCUGAGGUACGAAAGCAUGGGGAGCAAACAGGAUUAGAUACCCGAGUAGUCCCUGUCUCUUAUAC